GAGUAACACGUAUCCAACCUGCCGUCUACUCUUGGACAGCCUUCUGAAAGGAAGAUUAAUACAAGAUGGCAUCAUGAGUCCGCAUGUUCACAUGAUUAAAGGUAUUCCGGUAGACGAUGGGGAUGCGUUCCAUUAGAUAGUAGGCGGGGUAACGGCCCACCUAGUCUUCGAUGGAUAGGGGUUCUGAGAGGAAGGUCCCCCACAUUGGAACUGAGACACGGUCCAAACUCCUACGGGAGGCAGCAGUGAGGAAUAUUGGUCAAUGGGCGCAGGCCUGAACCAGCCAAGUAGCGUGAAGGAUGACUGCCCUAUGGGUUGUAAACUUCUUUUAUAAAGGAAUAAAGUCGGGUAUGUAUACCCGUUUGCAUGUACUUUAUGAAUAAGGAUCGGCUAACUCCGUGCCAGCAGCCGCGGUAAUACGGAGGAUCCGAGCGUUAUCCGGAUUUAUUGGGUUUAAAGGGAGCGUAGAUGGAUGUUUAAGUCAGUUGUGAAAGUUUGCGGCUCAACCGUAAAAUUGCAGUUGAUACUGGAUAUCUUGAGUGCAGUUGAGGCAGGCGGAAUUCGUGGUGUAGCGGUGAAAUGCUUAGAUAUCACGAAGAACUCCGAUUGCGAAGGCAGCCUGCUAAGCUGCAACUGACAUUGAGGCUCGAAAGUGUGGGUAUCAAACAGGAUUAGAUACCCUGGUAGUCCACACGGUAAACGAUGAAUACUCGCUGUUUGCGAUAUACUGCAAGCGGCCAAG
rnacentral:rRNA from 1 species